rnacentral:lncRNA from 1 species
GAAUCCGAGAUAGCAGAAACCAGCCCAAGUGUGGUGAGCCAGAACCUCAUUUGGUUCUGCCAUCUCUUAAAAUUAUAACCAUCAAAAGUAAACGAUUUUGUCGAAUCCUCCAUAAUAAAAAAAUAAUCUGUUCACAAAUUAAUUCUACUGUUAUGUCAAAAAAUAGUUUUGAAUUUCAGAAAAUAACAGUAAGAAAUUUUACGUUUUAUUCAGAGCGAUCAAGAAAUAUUUUAAUUCUUAUAAUAAAAGAAACAGAAAGAUUAAAUUAAAAAAAUAAUUUCGCUUCUACAUUGUUGGAAAAAAUCUUUCUAAUCUUUUAUUACAAUACUCCUUAAAAACAACUCAAAAAUUCAAUUUCAACUAUAGAAAAAUUCCAAAACAAAAUUAAACAAAAAUAUUGUAAAGAU